GGGUAUCUGGGGCAUCCUUUGAAGUCCAGGUGAAGGCAGCCAUGCCUCUGCAGCUUGUUCAUUCUGGGACUUGUAAAGAUGGCACCAUGGAGACACCCCCAAGGUUGAUUUGAAUGUGCCCUCCAGAAGGACAUUCCGUUGGGCCUCAUCCCACCUGGGCCCAGUGGAGCCACACCUGAUAUGGUUGAGGAGCGGUUUGCUACAAUGCAGGGAACAGAGACUUGAGGCAUCAUGAGCAUACUGUAUAAAUAAAACCUGCAGAAAAGUUCAUUUAAUGGGAUAUAACUGUAAUGCUACCAUAAAAUGCAAAGGGAAAGGGAUAUGUAAUAAUUUUGGUAAUUGUCAAUGCUUCCCUGGAUAUAAACCUCCAGAUUGUAAAUUCCAGUUUGGUUCCCCAGGGGGUAGUAUUGAUGAUGGAAAUUUUCAGAAAUCUGGUGACUUUUAUACUGAAAAAGGCUACAAUACACACUGGAACAACUGGCUUAUUCUGAGUUUCUACAUUUUUCUGCCGUUUUUCAUAGUUCUUACCACUGUGAUCUUUAAGAGAAAUGAAAUAAGGAAAUCAUCCAACAGAGAGAAUGCAGAGUAUAAUCGGUAAAUAUGAUAUAGAAUUAAUGUAUUAGGUUAAAUUAUCCUAGUCAUUAA
rnacentral:sRNA from 1 species